rnacentral:rRNA from 1 species
UUAGCCGGUCAUAGCGGCGGGGAUCCACCUGGUCCCAUUCCGAACCCAGAAGUUAAACCCGCUGACGCCAUUGUGUUAGUGAGGUCCGAGAGGUCUCGUGAAGCAGUGGUGCCGGCGACC